UGCAGUUGCAUUACUUCUCAGAGUGAUGCCUCUUCCAACUCACAGCCCCUGGGAUCUUGAGAAAUGCUGACAAUCAGCAGCAGAAGACAAAUGAUGCAAGGAUGCAGACCCACAUUUUGGUGUCAGCAGAAAGACCAUCAGUAGAAGUGAUAUUAAUAUAGCAUUUUGUAGGGGGCCCUGGACACCUGCUUUUUGCCUUUGACCAUCCACUUUUUCUAAGUGGCCCCCAGGAAAAAUAUAUGCACAGAGGAUUAU
rnacentral:lncRNA from 1 species